GAUGAAGAACGUAGCGAAAUGCGAUAAUUAAUGUGAAUUGCAGAAUUCAGUGAAUCAUCGAGUCUUUGAACGCACAUUGCGCCCCCUGGUAUUCCGGGGGGCAUGCCUGUCCGAGCGUCAUUGCUGCCCUCAAGCACGGCUUGUGUGUUGGGCCCCGUCCUCCGAUCCCGGGGGACGGGCCCGAAAGGCAGCGGCGGCACCGCGUCCGGUCCUCGAGCGUAUGGGGCUUUGUCACCCGCUCUGUAGGCCCGGCCGGCGCUUGCCGAUCAACCCAAAUUUUUUAUCCAGGUUGACCUCGGAUCAGGUAGGGAUACCCGCUGAACUUAAGCAUAUCAAUAAGCGGAGGA
rnacentral:misc_RNA from 1 species